rnacentral:rRNA from 1 species
GACGAACGCUGGCGGCGUGCUUAACACAUGCAAGUCGAACGGAAAGGCCCCUUUGGGGGUACUCGAGUGGCGAACGGGUGAGUAACACGUGAGUAACCUGCCCUUGACUUCGGGAUAACUUCAGGAAACUGGGGCUAAUACCGGAUAGGAAUCCUUGCUGCAUGGUGGGGGUUGGAAAGCUUCGGCGGUUUUGGAUGGACUCGCGGCUUAUCAGCUUGUUGGUGGGGUAGUGGCUUACCAAGGCUUUGACGGGUAGCCGGCCUGAGAGGGCGACCGGCCACAUUGGGACUGAGAUACGGCCCAGACUCCGACGGGAGGCAGCAGUUGGGAAUAUUGCACAAUGGGCGGAAGCCUGAUGCAGCAACGCCGCGUGCGGGAUGACGGCCUUCGGGUUGUAAACCGCUUUCAGCAGGGGCGAAGCUUGUGGUGACGGUACCUGCAGAAGAAGCACCGGCUAACUACGUG